CAGCCGCGGUAACACCGGCAGCUCUAGUGGUAGCAAUUUUAUUGGGCCUAAAGCGUCCGUAGCCGGUUUAAUAAGUCUCUGGUGAAAUCCUGCAGCUUAACUGUGGGAAUGCUGGAGAUACUAUUAGACUUGAGACCGGGAGAGGUUAGAGGUACUCCCAGGGUAGAGGUGAAAUUCUGUAAUCCUGGGAGGACCGCCUGUUGCGAAGGCGUCUAACUGGAACGGUUCUGACGGUGAGGGACGAAAGUUAGGGGCGCGAACCGGAUUAGAUACCCGGGUAGUCCUAACUGUAAACGAUGCGGACUUGGUGUUGGGUGGCUUUGAGCUGCUUCAGUGCCGAAGGGAAGCUGUUAAGUCCGCCGCCUGGGAAGUACGGUCGCAAGACUGAAACUUAAGGAAUUGGCGGGGGAGCACCACAACGCGUGGAGCCUGCCGGUUUAAUUGGAUUCAACGCCGGACAUCUCACCAGAGGCGACAGCUGUAUGAUAGCCAGGUUGAUGACUUUGCUUGACUAGCUGAGUGGUGGUGCAUGG
rnacentral:rRNA from 1 species